GACGAACGCUGGCGGCGUGCUUAACACAUGCAAGUCGAACGGAAAAGCCCCUUCCUUUUUGGGGGGUCGAGAGGCGAACCGGUGGGGUAAAUAUGAGUUACCUACCCUUCCCCUUUGGUUUGCUUAACGAAACUGGGGUGUAUCUCAUACAGGAGCUUCUGCGUCUUUGGGGGGGUUGGACAGUUUCGGCGGUUGGGGAUGGGGUCGCGGGGUUUCAGCCUGUUGGUGGGGUAGUGGGUUACCAAGGCUUGCACGGGUGGCCGGCCUGAGAGGGUGACCGGCCACAUUGGGACUGAGAUACGGCCCAGACUCCUACGGGAGGCAGCAGUGGGGAAUAUUGCGCAAUGGGCGGAAGCCGGAUGCAGCAACGCCGCGUGCGGGAUGACGGCCUUCGGGUUGUAAACCGCGUUCGCCUGUGACGAAGCGUGAGUGACGGUAAUGGGUAAAGAAGCACCGGCUAACUACGUG
rnacentral:rRNA from 1 species